rnacentral:rRNA from 1 species
CUAACAAGGAUUCCCUUAGUAACUGCGAGUGAAGUGGGAAAAGCUCAAAUUUGAAACCUGGCAGUCUCCUUUUUCUAUUUUGGCUGUCCGAGUUGUAAUCUAGAGAAGUGUUUACCUGCACUGGACCAUGUAUAAGUCUCCUGGAAUGGAGCAUCACAGAGGGUGAGAAUCCCGUCUUUGACAUGGACUGCCAGUGUGCUGUGGUGCGCUCUCAAAGAGUCGAGUUGUUUGGGAAUGCAGCUCUAAAUGGGUGGUAAACUCCAUCUAAAGCUAAAUAUUGGCGAGAGACCGAUAGUGAACAAGUACCGUGAGGGAAAGAUGAAAAGGACUUUGGAAAGAGAGUUAAACAGUAUGUGAAAUUGUUGAAAGGGAAACGCUUGAAGUCAAUUAUGUUGGCUAGGGAUCAACUUGGCUAUUUUUGCUGGGUGAAUUUCCUAGUCUGACAGGCCAACAUCAGUUCUGACUGCUGGAAAAGAGCAAAGGGAAUGUGGCACCUUUGGGUGUGUUAUAGCCUUUUGUCAUAUGUGGCAGUUGGGACUGAGGGAUGCAGCAUGCCAUUUGGCUGGGUUUUGACCACAUUUACAUGCUUAGGAUGUUGGCUUUCAAUGGCUUCAAUUGACCCGUCUUGAAACACGGACCAAGGAGUCUAACAUGCCUGCAAGUGUUUGGGUGUUGUAAACCCUUGCGCACAAUGAAAGUGAAAGUUGAGAUCCCUGUCAUGGGGAGCAUCGACGCCCGGACUUGAGCUUUUAGCAAUGGAUCCGUGGUAGAGCAUGCAUGUUGGGACCCGAAAGAUGGUGAACUAUGCCUGAAUAGGGCAAAGCCAGAGGAAACUCUGGUGGAGGCUCGUAGCGAUUCUGACGUGCAAAUCGAUCGUCGAAUUUGGGUAUAGGGCGAAAGACUAAUCGACCA